GGGCAGGGAACAGAACGCCUGGAAUACAAAAGCGGCAGCAGAGCUCGGGGCCAGACGCAGACGUGUGAUGGGAGAGACCACAUCCAAUUGCACCGAGACAUCUUAAUCCGAGCUCAUUUCUCUCCUGUGGACUAGAGCCUGGACCGUGCCCCACACGUGUCCUGAGUCUCCCUGGCGCCUCUGACCUGCGGCCCCUUCCAGACGGCUGGAGACUUCUCCCCAGGGACACCUGCGGGUGUGAACAGUCCAUUUCAGGUCUCGACGGCUUUCGGAGUCCCUGGCUGCUCCUGGGGAGUUGCUCUGCCUCCUGCCUCGGUCGUCCCGGCCUGCGCUGGCUGGGAGCCUCUGCAAAGCUAAGUUACCCGCCUUUUGUUGCGACGCGGGCCCCGGAGGACUGAAAUCGAACGCGUGGCUUCUGUGGAGGGAGAGGGAGAGAGGCGGCUAAUGAGAGGCUGUGCACAUCCCAAGUCCUGGGGGUUAAUUCCCAAAGAGCCGGAUCAGAAACAUGCCUAAAAGCCCAGUUUGAUAAAUUUCCAGGACGCCAACCCCGAGUGGAGCUAGGAGAGCUUGAAAGGAGGAUGGGCACACUCAGCAAGGUCAUCCUUCGUGUCAGUGUCCAUCCAGAAUCCACGUCCCAGGAGCCCGGGGAGCUGACCCCAGUGCGGCCUGGCUGGACCGCCAGGAGGUGUGGGGACAGGCUGCCCAUCGUGGAAUCAGGGCUGCAGCACUGGGCAGCGGUCAUGGCCGGCACCCCGCGGGCCCUGGGCCCAGGCACGCCCCGGGAGCGGCAGGAGGUGCUGGUGCCGUCGGAACCCCUGGGGUUCAGUCUCCUAGCUCCCCCAUAGAAACUGGGGCCAGCAGGACAGAAAGCCUCUCAGAAUCCUGGAGGCCUCUCCGCCUCCUGAACCCCUUGUCCACGUCCCGCUUUCUGGUGUCUGCAUCCCUACAGACCCGUGCUCUCCCUCCAGGAUGCCUUGAAACCCAAACAAACAAGACAACUUCUCCCUGGUCCCGA